AACGUCGUGAGACAGUUCGGUCCCUAUCUGCCGUGGGUGUUCGAGACUUGAGAGGAUCUGUCCCUAGUACGAGAGGACCGGGAUGGACGUACCUCUGGUGUACCGGUUGUCGCGCCAGCGGCAUCGCCGGGUAGCUAAGUACGGACGGGAUAACCGCUGAAAGCAUCUAAGCGGGAAACCCCCCUCAAAACCAGGUCUCGCCUAAGAGCCGUGGUAGACCACCACGUUGAUAGGCCGGGUGUGGAAGUGCGGCAACGCAUGAAGCUUACCGGUACUAAUCGUUCGUUCG
rnacentral:rRNA from 1 species